GAUCUUUUCUGUUCUAAGACUAACGUCUUAAUAUCCGAUUACAGCGAUUGGAGCUAUAUUUGCCGCAACGGAUUCUGUAUGCACACUUCAGAUAUUAAGCCAGGACGAAACCCCUCUACUCUACAGUCUCGUAUUUGGGGAGGGCGUGGUCAAUGACGCUACGUCUGUGGUGCUUUUCAAUGCUAUUCAAAGCAUAGAUCUCAGCAACAUUGAUGCAAGAGUUGCUAUACAUUUUCUUGGGAGCUUCUUUUAUCUGUUUUCGACGAGCACUCUACUUGGAGUAUUUGUUGGGCUGCUGAGUGCUUAUAUAAUCAGAAAGUUAUAUUUUGGCAGGUAUAUAUCUCUGGAAUUGUUCUUCAUUUAGACCCUUCUCUUGGUGUAUUCUUAUGCAUUAGUAGGUGACCAACAAGUAGCUUGUGGCAGUGCAAUCAUUUUUUCAUCAUGCUUUCAUAAUUCCAAGUAAAGUUCCAUUUUCAAUAGUUACAAGAAUAUUGACGAUUAUUAUUGUAACAACCCAAGCCCACCGCUAGCAGAUAUUGUUCUCUUUAGGCUUUCCCUUUCAGGCUUUCCUUCAAAGUUUAUAAAGCGUGUCCGCUAGUGAGAGGUUUCCACACCCUUAUAAAGAAUGUUUCGUUGUGGGAUUUCACAAUUAUGUUCAUAUUUGUUGAAAUGAUUAUAUAUGAUAACUCUCAUUUUAAGCUUCGAAAAGAUACACACCGGGGGUGGAGAUGGGAUGGGAACUCUAAUAGCAGAAAAUCUUAGUUAGCAGAUAUUAUAAGUGUGUCUUAUGUGUAGAUGACCUUUCUUUUCAGAUAUAUUGUUGUGAAUGUAAUCUGUGAACGGUUUGGUGGUCGUCUGUCGUUAGGAGACAUUUAGUUAGUACAAGAUGUUGCACGGUUAGGUGAUCAUCUAUCGGAAUUAGUCGAGUUGCUCAUAAACAUAGUCUAAAU